rnacentral:rRNA from 1 species
CCUACGGGAGGCAGCAGUGAGGAAUAUUGGUCAAUGGCCGUAAGGCUGAACCAGCCAAGUCGCGUGAGGGAAGACUGCCCUAUGGGUUGUAAACCUCUUUUAUGCGGGGAUAAAGGUGUCCACGUGUGGAUGUUUGCAGUUACCGCAUGAAUAAGGACCGGCUAAUUCCGUUCCAGCCGCCGCGGUAAUACGGAAGGUCCUGGCGUUAUCCGGAUUUAUUUGGUUUAAAGGGAGCGUAGGCCGGUCUUUAAGCGUUCCGUGAAAUUUUGUGGCUCAACCAUGAGAGUGCGGCGGGAACUGGAGACCGUGAGUGAGCGGAAGGCAGGCGGAAUUCGUGGUGUAGCGGUGAAAUGCUUAGAUAUCACGAAGAACCCCGAUUGCGAAGGCAGCCUGCCGCAGCGUUACUGACGCUGAAGCUCGAAAGCGCGGGUAUCGAACAGGAUUAGAUACCCCUGUAGUC